UUUAGUUUUUCAAAAACAAAAAAAAAAGAAUUUUUUUUAAUUACAAAAUUCUGCCCAUUGCAUUUAAAUUGUUUAUGUAUGUUAGGCAAAGGUGUUAAGACGUGCAAUGGAGCUACAAAGAAACAAAUACUGACCAUUCGAAUGAAAUUCGUGCUGCUUGGUGUUAUCUCUUAUCUGUUACCUGUACUUGAGUUGUGUAUUUUUAGUUAAAAGAACACAAAGUAAUGGGAUACCCGGAACCGCAAGCCUCUUGAAGAUAAGCCCUUACCAAUUCAAUAAAAAUAUCUCUCACCAUGUGCGCAUCCUAAGGGGUGCCUUUUGAUACCAAUAAAGGAUGGCACUUUCCAUGAUACUUAGCAAAAUUUAAAAAUUUUUUAA